rnacentral:rRNA from 1 species
UGAACCUGAGGAAGGAUCAUUA